rnacentral:lncRNA from 1 species
UACACUGUAAAAAAAAUCUGUAAAAUAACAGUUAAAUUACUGUAUAUUUUAACGGAUUUUUUCCGUAUACACGUAUUACGGUUGUUUUUCCGUUUAUAUACAUUUUCGAAUUGCAUUAUGGGAAGGGGAUCGCAGCUCAGGCAGCGUUUGAUGGACACCGGGACAUAUUUCUUCCUCUGUUUUUUCCCUGUUGUUUGUCCGUAUUUUUUUAAACUGCCGUGCGCGGGAAGUGAUGUGACGUCCCAAUCACCCUCUCACUCCCUCUGCACCUGCGUGAGUCUGACUGGAUUAACGAUAAACGUCAGCUUGUCAGUGAGAGUGUAAAAGGUAUGUUAAUUAUUUUAUA